rnacentral:rRNA from 1 species
AUGUCCAACGGGGCGCAGCAGUGAGGAAUAUUGGUCAGUGGGCGAGAGCCUGAACCAGCCAAGUCGCGUGAGGGAAGACGGUCCUAUGGAUUGUAAACCUCUUUUGCCGGGGAGCAAAAAGCGGUACGUGUACCGCAUCGAGAGUACCCGGAGAAAAAGCAUCGGCUAACUCCGUGCCAGCAGCCGCGGUAAUACGGAGGAUGCGAGCGUUAUCCGGAUUUAUUGGGUUUAAAGGGUGCGCAGGCGGCGAGUUAAGUCAGCGGUAAAAUUUCGGGGCUCAACCCCGUCGAGCCGUUGAAACUGGC